rnacentral:rRNA from 1 species
GACGAACGCUGGCGGCGUGCUUAACACAUGCAAGUCGAACGGAAAGGCCCUGCUUUUGUGGGGUGCUCGAGUGGCGAACGGGUGAGUAACACGUGAGUAACCUGCCCUUGACUUUGGGAUAACUUCAGGAAACUGGGGCUAAUACCGGAUAGGAGCUCCUGCCGCAUGGUGGGGGUUGGAAAGUUUCGGCGGUUGGGGAUGGACUCGCGGCUUAUCAGCUUGUUGGUGGGGUAGUGGCUUACCAAGGCUUUGACGGGUAGCCGGCCUGAGAGGGUGACCGGCCACAUUGGGACUGAGAUACGGCCCAGACUCCUACGGGAGGCAGCAGGGGGGAAUAGUGCACAAUGGGCGGAAGCCUGAUGCGGCAACGCCGCGUGCGGGAUGACGGCCUUCGGGUUGUAAACCGCUUUCGCCUGUGACGAAGCGUGAGUGACGGUAAUGGGUAAAGAAGCACCGGCUAACUACGUG